ensembl:snRNA U6 U6 spliceosomal RNA
GUGCUCACUUCGGCAACACAUAUACCAAAAUCGGAACUAUACAGAGAAGAUUAGCACAGCCCCUGUGCAAGGGUGGCAUGUAAAUUUGUGAAGCGUUCCAUAUUAAA